rnacentral:lncRNA from 1 species
UUGAAACAAGAAACAGAUGUAUUUGAAACAGGAGAAUGGUUUUAUUUGAAAUAGGAAGAAUAUAAAUUAAAAAAAUCCUUGGAGAAACGGAUGUAUUUUGAAACAGGAGAAUGAAUUUAUUUGAAACAGGUAGAAUAAAUUAAAAAAAAAUCAGACAACUCGUUGGCACUUUGGUCACUUGGCAGAUUCAAUGACAUCCUUGGAUUAAAAAAUUUAAUUGAAAUAAAAAAUGGGUAUAUUUGAAACAGGAGAAUGGAUUUAUUUGAAAUAGGAAGAAUAAAUUAAAAAAAUCUUUGGAAAAACGGAUGUAUUUGAAACAGGAGAAUGGAUUUAUUUGAAACAGGAAGAAUAAAUUUAAAAAAUUAGACAACUCGAUCGUUAGCACUUGGGCCACUUGGUAUGUUCAAUGACAUCCUUGGAUUAAAAAAUUUAAUUGAAACAGGAUUUAUUUGAAAUAGGAAGAAUAAAUUAAAAAAAUCCUUGGAGAAACGGAUGUAUUUGAAACUGAAGAAUGGAUGUAUUUUAAACAAGAGAAUUGAUUUAUUUAAAACAGGAAGAAUAGAUUAAAAAAAUUAAACAACUCGUUGCCAUCUUUGGAUUUAAAAAUUUAAUUGAAAUACGAAACGGAUAUAUUUGAAACAGGAGAAUGGAUUUAUUUGAAACAGAAAAAAUAAAUUUAAAAAAUUAGACAACUCGCGUUGGCACUUGAGCCACUUGACAGAUUCAAUGACAUCCUUGGAUUAAAAAAAUUAAUUGAAACAAGAAAC